rnacentral:rRNA from 1 species
UAGCGUAGGGGGCAAGCGUUGUCCGGAAUUAUUGGGCGUAAAGGAGCUCGUAGGCGGUGUGUCGCGUCGGCCGUGAAAACCUGCAGCUUAACUGUGGGCGAUGCGGUCGAUACGGGCAGUCACUGAGUUCGGCAGGGGAGACUGGAAUUCCUGGUGUAGCGGUGAAAUGCGCAGAUAUCAGGAGGAACACCGGUGGCGAAGGCGGGUCUCUGGGCCGAAAAUUGACGCUGAGGAGCGAAAGCCGUGGGGAGCAAACAGG